rnacentral:lncRNA from 1 species
AUGAACGGAACUGUCAUUGCCUCCCCUCCUGAGUGCAAACAGCUGAUCAUUGUUUACCACACAAUCACUCUCAACUACAAUUGUUUCCCUCAUUUUCUUUCCAAUUUCCUCUGCUUUCUUUAUCCUUGGCAUUUAUCAAAAACAUGUCUUCGGAGGGGUAAGAGAUUUCUUUAUUGCAUAAAAAGGAAAGCAUUUUUAGUUUUGGAAAUUUGUAGCUUGAUUUCUACACUAUUCAGUGGGAACUCAACUAAAUAAGUGCUCGAGCUUGUUAUCAUAGAAAUCAAAUAAAAUCCAAUUCCAUCACUUCCA